GGUCUGAGAGGAUGAUCCGCCACACUGGGACUGAGACACGGCCCAGACUCCUACGGGAGGCAGCAGUGCGGAAUAUUGGACAAUGGGGGGAACCCUGAUCCAGCCAUGCCGCGUGUGUGAAGAAGGCCUUAUGGUUGUAAAGCACUUUAAGCGAGGAGGAGGCUACUUUAGUUAAUACCUAGAGAUAGUGGACGUUACUCGCAGAAUAAGCACCGGCUAACUCUGUGCCAGCAGCCGCGGUAAUACAGAGGGUGCGAGCGUUAAUCGGAUUUACUGGGCGUAAAGCGUGCGUAGGCGGCUUAUUAAGUCGGAUGUGAAAUCCCCGAGCUUAACUUGGGAAUUGCAUUCGAUACU
rnacentral:rRNA from 1 species